ACAGAACCUCAGUGUAAGGUCGCGGGCGCAGAGGGUGAUCUGUCUCUGCAAUGACAAGCCUGCCAUUUUAAAGUCGCUCGGGACCACAUCGGGCGAACAGCAGUGGAGCAAAGGUGCUCAAAGCCGCAGCGCUGACAGCCAACACUUAGCCCGAAUCGCUCUGUACCGUCUCUGCUCCAAGCCAACCGGGCCCAGGAUCCCAGUAUCUCGAGCUUUGCAAAAUAUUUAAUCUCAGGCAUCCCUGUAGGAAGGAAAUUCUAAUAAUCCCAUUCACAAGCAUGGCAGGAAAGAACACCUGAGCAAUGGAUACACCCAAGAUCACACUGUUUGUGUGUGGAAGGACAACACUUGAACCAGCCUUCACCCAAGUCACCAAGAAACACCAGUAGCACUGCUACCACAUUUUAAUAUCAUAAAUAUAAUAUACGUCUA